rnacentral:rRNA from 1 species
ACUCAAAGGAAUUGACGGGGGCUCACACAAGCGGUGGAGCAUGUGGCUUAAUUCGAGGCUACGCGAAGAACCUUAUCCUGGGCUUGACAUAUGCGAAAGCGGUAGGUGUUGUAACGGCCGGAAACGCGUCGUGAACCCGCAAGGGGAGCCUACCACAGGUGCUGCAUGGCUGUCGUCAGCUCGUGUCGUGAGAUGUCGGGUUAAGUCCCAUAACGAGCGAAACCCCUGUCCUUAGUUGCCACAUUUAGUUGGGGACUCUAGGGAGACUGCCGGUGUUAAACCGGAGGAAGGUGGGGAUGACGUCAAGUCCUCAUGGCCUUUAUGCCCAGGGCUGCACACGUGCUACAAUGGCGUAUACAAAGGGAAGCCAACCCGCGAGGGGGAGCCAAUCCCAGAAAAUACGCCCCAGUUCAGAUUAGAGGCUGCAACUCGCCUCUAUGAAGUUGGAAUCGCUAGUAAUCGCAGGUCAGCAACACUGCGGUGAAUGUGUUCCUGAGCCUUGCACACACCGCCCGU